UGGCGACCGGCGCACGGGUGAGUAACGCGUAUGCAACCUGCCCGAUACCGGGGUAUGGCCCAUGGAAACGUGGAUUAACACCCCAUAGUACUUUUAUCCUGCAUGGGAUGUGAGUUAAAUGUUCAAGGUAUCGGAUGGGCAUGCGUCCUAUUAGUUAGUUGGCGGGGUAACAGCCCACCAAGACGAUGAUAGGUAGGGGUUCUGAGAGGAAGGUCCCCCACAUUGGAACUGAGACACGGUCCAA
rnacentral:rRNA from 1 species